AAAACGACUCUCGGCAACGGAUAUCUCGGCUCUCGCAUCGAUGAAGAACGUAGCGAAAUGCGAUACUUGGUGUGAAUUGCAGAAUCCCGUGAACCAUCGAGUCUUUGAACGCAAGUUGCGCCCAAAGCCUUCGGGCCGAGGGCACGUCUGCCUGG
rnacentral:rRNA from 2 species